rnacentral:rRNA from 1 species
UGGUCAAGUUAUUAAGGGUGCAGGGCGGAUGCCUUGGCACUAGGAGCCGAUGAAGGACGUGAUAAGCUGCGAUAAGCUUCGGGGAGUUGCACGUAAACUUUGAUCCGAAGAUUUCCGAAUGAGGAAACUCACUUAGAGUAAUGUCUAAGUAUCAUUAAGUGAAUACAUAGCUUAAUGAGGGGAACUCAGGGAACUGAAACAUCUAAGUACCUGAAGGAAGAGAAAGAAAUUCGAUUCCGUAAGUAGCGGCGAGCGAACGCGGAGUAGCCCAAACCAAUAAAGUUUUCUUUAUUGGGGUUGCGGACAUAUCAUAACGAAGAGGUAUCGUAAUUGAAGAGGUUUGGAAAGACCCACCACAGAAGGUAAUAGUCCUGUAUGUUAAACGAGAAGACUUCAGAUAUGAUCCAGAGUACCACGGGACACGUGAAACCCUGUGGGAAGCAGGAGGGACCACCCUCCAAGGCUAAAUACUACCUAGUGACCGAUAGCGUAUAGUACCGUGAGGGAAAGGUGAAAAGAACCCCGGGAGGGGAGUGAAAUAGAACCUGAAACCCUGCACUUACAAGCUGUGGAAGCACAUUUCUUGUGUGACCGCGUACUUUUUGUAGAACGGGCCAACGAGUUACGUUAAGUAGCAAGGUUAAGCACUUAAGGUGCGGAGCCGUAGCGAAAGCGAGUUUUAACUGAGCGUUCAGUUACUUGACGUAGACCCGAAACCGGGCGACCUACCCAUGAGCAGGAUGAAGCGAAAGUAAAAUUUCGUGGAGGUCCGAACCCACGAGCGUUGAAAAGCUCGGGGAUGACUUGUGGGUAGCGGUGAAAUUCCAAUCGAGCCCGGAGAUAGCUGGUUCUCCCCGAAAUAGCUUUAGGGCUAGCCUCAAGGUGAGAGAUACGGAGGUAGAGCACUGAAUGUCCUAGGGG